rnacentral:rRNA from 1 species
AUUGAACGCUGGCGGCAUGCCUUACACAUGCAAGUCGAACGGCAGCACGGGAGCUUGCUCCUGGUGGCGAGUGGCGAACGGGUGAGUAAAGCAUCGGAACGUGCCCUGAAGUGGGGGAUAACGUAGCGAAAGUUACGCUAAUACCGCAUAUUCUGUGAGAAGGAAAGCAGGGGACCGCAAGGCCUUGUGCUUUAGGAGCGGCCGAUGUCGGGUUAGCUAGUUGGGGAGGUAAAGGCUCACCAAGGCAACGAUCCGUAGCGGGUCUGCGAGGAUGAUCCGCCACACUGGACUGAGACACGGCCCAGACUCCUACGGGAGGCAGAAGUGGGGAAUUUUGGACAAUGGGCGCAAGCCUGAUCCAGCCAUGCCGCGUGAGUGAAGAAGGCCUUCGGGUUGUAAAGCUCUUUCGGCGGGGAAGAAAUGGCGCUUUUUAAUACAGAGCGUUGAUGACGGUACCCGCAUAAGAAGCACCGGCUAACUACGUGCCAGCCGCCGCCGUAAGAC